rnacentral:rRNA from 1 species
CGGGUGAGUAACGCGUGAGGAACCUGCCUCAAAGAGGGGGACAACAGUUGGAAACGACUGCUAAUACCGCAUAAGCCCACGGCUCGGCAUCGAGCAGAGGGAAAAGGAGUGAUCCGCUUUGAGAUGGCCUCGCGUCCGAUUAGCUGGUUGGUGAGGUAAUGGCCCACCAAGGCAACGAUCGGUAGCCGGACUGAGAGGUUGAACGGCCACAUUGGGACUGAGACACGGCCCAG